rnacentral:rRNA from 1 species
GAUGAACGCUAGCUACAGGCUUAACACAUGCAAGUCGAGGGGCAGCAUGGUCUUAGCUUGCUAAGGCCGAUGGCGACCGGCGCACGGGUGAGUAACACGUAUCCAACCUGCCGUCUACUCUUGGACAGCCUUCUGAAAGGAAGAUUAAUACAAGAUGGCAUCAUGAGUCCGCAUGUUCACAUGAUUAAAGGUGUUCCGGUAGACGAUGGGGAUGCGUUCCAGUAGAGAGUAGGCGGGGUAACGGCCCACCUAGUCUUCGAUGGAUAGGGGUUCUGAGAGGAAGGUCCCCCACAUUGGAACUGAGACACGGUCCAA